UACGUAGGGUGCAAGCGUUGUCCGGAAUUAUUGGGCGUAAAGAGCUCGUAGGCGGUUUGUCGCGUCUGCUGUGAAAACUCGGGGCUUAACCCCGGGCCUGCAGUGGGUACGGGCAGACUAGAGUGCGGUAGGGGAGACUGGAAUUCCUGGUGUAGCGGUGAAAUGCGUAGAUAUCUGGAGGAACACCGGUGGCGAAGGCGGCAUCCUGGACCGGUAUUGACGCUGAGGCGCGAAAGCCAGGGGAGCAAACGGG
rnacentral:rRNA from 1 species